GAGGAUAUGGCUCAGUGGCAGAGUGCUCACCUAGCAUGUGUGAGGCACUGGGUUCAAUUCUCAGUACCACA
rnacentral:tRNA from 1 species